rnacentral:rRNA from 1 species
UACAGAGGGUGCGAGCGUUGUCCGGAAUCACUGGGCGUAAAGGGCGCGUAGGUGGCGCAACAAGUCAGUGGUGAAAGCUCGACGCUCAACGUCGAGUCGGCCACUGAGACUGUUGGGACUUGAGGCACUGUAGAGGCUAAUGGAAUUCCGGGUGGAGCGGUGAAAUGCGUAGAGAUCGGAAAGAACACCAACGGCGAAAGCACUCUGCUGGGCCGACACUGACACUGAGAGACGAAAGCUAGGGGAGCGAAUGGG